AUACGUAGGUGGCAAGCGUUAUCCGGAAUUAUUGGGCGUAAAGCGCGCGUAGGCGGUUUUUUAAGUCUGAUGUGAAAGCCCACGGCUCAACCGUGGAGGGUCAUUGGAAACUGGAAAACUUGAGUGCAGAAGAGGAAAGUGGAAUUCCAUGUGUAGCGGUGAAAUGCGCAGAGAUAUGGAGGAACACCAGUGGCGAAGGCGACUUUCUGGUCUGUAACUGACGCUGAUGUGCGAAAGCGUGGGGAUCAAACAGGAUUAGAUACCCUGGUAGUCCACGCUGUAAACGAUGAGUGCUAAGUGUUGGGGGGUUUCCGCCCCUCAGUGCUGCAGCUAACGCAUUAAGCACUCCGCCUGGGGAGUACGGUCGCAAGACUGAAACUCAAAUGAAUUGACGGGG
rnacentral:rRNA from 1 species